UGAAUUUCCUUGUUGUCUUUG
rnacentral:piRNA from 1 species